CUCAGAGGCAACAGGUGCCCCAGGAUUUCUUCUCGGCUCCACUUCCUUGUUAAUGUUCCCAGGUUGCAGGGGAGGUGAAAAAGGGAUUAGAUUUCCCUGGUAACUCUCAUCCUGCAGUAUGGAUAUUUUAGAAACCAAUUAUGCGGAUCUCCCUGGGACACAGCCUUGGCUAUAAACAUCAGUCUUCUCAGGCCCUGAGUCAGGAUGUCGUCCAUCGAUACAACCAUCCAUGAUGCUGAUUGUAAGGUCUACAGCGAUGUUACUAGAACCGUAGUCCACAGACUUCUGCUACGGCAUCCCGCAACUACGAUCGUCCCUCUGCCGAGAGAUCAGCCAGCUAGCCAAGUAAGAAAAAGGAAAACAGCAGAGCUGAUGGCCAACUGGAGGGUCUCCAAGUGUCCCUCUGCCCUUUCCAUUCCAUGAUGGAGAAAUGAGGCAAAGUCUGAGAUAGCUACAAAACUCGGACUGAUUUGAGCAGAGCACAAGAGCCUUUCUGGAAGUGGCAACCUACGAGCUGAGUUCCGAAGGGUGAGUAGGAGUUGGCCACACACAGAGAGUACGGAGCAAGCACUCUUG
rnacentral:lncRNA from 1 species